GAAUCUCUAACUGCCGGUGACAGCCAGGCUUUUGACACGCUGCCAGAAAGACACAACAUGUCUAUUUGGAAACCAGCCUACCAUGAACAACCCUUGUAAUGUUUUAAAGAUGCAAAGCAACUUUCUCAGGGUGAAACCGACAAGUUACUUCAGAAACGGGCUGCCUGCCGCGUUGAUGGGGUGGGCGUAGAGACUCAGUGGGUAGCACUGUUGCCCUGCAACUCCACCUUUACUCUUUGAGUCCUGCCUCUGCUCUCUGUGAAUGUGUGGAUUUUGUAAGAUCUCCCUGUAUUGUGUGCGAUGCAUCCAGAUACUCAAGUUUCUUCCUGUAUUCUGAAGGUGUCUCUAAAUUGGAAGUGUCCUGCAAUGGAUUGAUGUCCCAUCCAGGAUAUAAUCCUGUCUUGUGUCCUAUAAUUGCCAGGACGGGAUCCAGGUUUCUGCAACCCUAUACUAGAAACACGGGACUCUGGAGCAGGCCACCGAAUGACAAAUGGAGAAGCGGACAAGGCUCUGCGAGGGAGACAGGUCGAUAGGCUGCCGGCGUACAUGGUCCCGCACCACGUGUAUUUGCUGGGCAGGGAGCUUGGCCAUCGUCCAGGCACAUCUCCAGCUAUGGGACUCAUUUCCGUCACCUUUCCAUGCUCAGAGUGACGAUGCCUUGCUGGGCCUCUUGCUGACUCUGCCUGGAAGAAGCAGACCAAUGCAGGGUGCAGAUGGGCUGUCCGGCUUACAUCACCGACUGGAACGAUACCGAGAAUCCAGCGGCAACAUUCCCAACU